rnacentral:pre_miRNA from 1 species
AUCGCUCUGUUAUGCUUCGGUUAAGCGAUAUACGUUGUCACCGAAGCGUAACAGAGCGAU